GGGUUGUGAGGUUAAGCGACUAAGCGUACACGGUGGAUGCCCUGGCAGUCAGAGGCGAUGAAGGGCGUGCUAAUCUGCGAUAAGCGCCGGUAAGGUGAUAUGAACCGUUAUAACCGGCGAUACCCGAAUGGGGAAACCCAGUGUGACUCGUCACACUAUCAUUAACUGAAUCCAUAGGUUAAUGAGGCGAACCGGGGGAACUGAAACAUCUAAGUACCCCGAGGAAAAGAAAUCAACCGAGAUUCCCUCAGUAGCGGCGAGCGAACGGGGAGGAGCCCAGAGCCUGAAUCAGCAUGUGUGUUAGUGGAAGCGUCUGGAAAGGCGCGCGAUACAGGGUGACAGCCCCGUACACAAAAGCGCAUAUGCUGUGAGCUCGAUGAGUAGGGCGGGACACGUGGUAUCCUGUCUGAAUAUGGGGGGACCAUCCUCCAAGGCUAAAUACUCCUGACUGACCGAUAGUGAACCAGUACCGUGAGGGAAAGGCGAAAAGAACCCCGGCGAGGGGAGUGAAAAAGAACCUGAAACCGUGUACGUACAAGCAGUGGGAGCACCCUUUGGGGUGUGACUGCGUACCUUUUGUAUAAUGGGUCAGCGACUUAUAUUCUGUAGCAAGGUUAACCG
rnacentral:rRNA from 2 species